CCUACGGGAGGCAGCAGUGGGGAAUAUUGGGCAAUGGAGGAAACUCUGACCCAGCAACGCCGCGUGAAGGAUGAAGGUGUUAGGAUUGUAAACUUCUGUCGCGAGGGAUGAAAAAUGACGGUACCUCGUAAGAACGCCCCGGCAAACUACGUGCCCGCAGCCGAGGUAAUACGGAGGAGGCGAGCGUUAUCCGGAUUUAUUGGGUUUAAAGGGUGCGCAGGCGGAGGUGCAAGUCAGCGGUAAAAUUGCGGGGCUCAACCCCGUACUGCCGUUGAAACUGGAUCCCUUGAGUGCGCGAGAAGUAUGCGGAAUGCGUGGUGUAGCGGUGAAAUGCAUAGAUAUCGCGCAGAACUCCGAUUGCGAAGGCAGCAUACCGGCGCGCAACUGACGCUCAUGCACGAAAGCGUGGGUAUCGAACAGGAUUAGAUACCCUGGUAGUC
rnacentral:rRNA from 1 species